rnacentral:misc_RNA from 1 species
AUAUGGGAAUAAAUCAGUUGAAAUUACGCUUACAGUCCCUUAAACUAAUAAUCUCUCACUGUACAAAUGAGAGAUGGGAGUAAAUCGGCAAGUGGGGAAUAAUGAUCUUGUUCCGUUAAUUUAAAAGUCUACAGCUUAUUCAAAAUACAGUUUUCAGUAAUUUGAAUUAGAAAUGAUAUAAAACAGAAUGAUUUUAAUACAUUAUUUUCUCUUUGUAUUUCUUAAUAAAAAUCAAUUGUUCUGACUUAAAAUGGAGUACUAUGAGUUUUUCCUUGUAAAUGUUUGUUGUACCAACUAAUGUUCCUAUUCCGCCAUAUAAAUAUUUGUCUUCCAUUCCAUAGUGCAACUAUAACGUACAAUAUACAAUAGUUAUCAUUUUCUUUAAAGUAUUUCCAAAUAAUAGAAUUGGAGAAAUUUGCAGCUAAUUCCUGGUUUAUUUCAAUGCUAAUGCAAACUAUACGAUUUUUCCUCCUUCUCAUGCUUAAAUUUGACUUGACCAAUUUAGGAGUUUUACCUAAAAAUUAAUUUUUACAAAUUUUUGUUGAUAUUUACGAAUUCGUAUUCUUUGCAGUUGUUUUUACUUUAAUACAUUCACUUUAAUUUUCUCAAGCAAGUGUUUUAUAUGCAAAUAUUCUCAAGUUAAUGUACUUGAAAACUUGGUACUUUCAUUUAUUUAUGUCCUUAUUUAUUACACAUUAGAUGACAAUCGAUAAAAGUAAACACAAUUUAUGUAGUGAAAAAAAUUUAGUACAAUACUAAUUUUCUUGUUAUAUAGUACAAUUUAUUGUAACCUCUUACAUUACUAGACAAAUUUGAUAAAGCAGUUCUGUAAACUUUUUUGUUUAAAUUGUUCAAACAUAAAGUUUGAGCAGAGCGGAGAACUCGUGUUUCGUGGAAAUUGAGAUCAGUGAUUAAUCUUUCUUUAAUCUGCAGAUUAAUUUAAUUUUUAUAUGAUAUCCCGCAUGGUAGCCGUACCCUGGAAGAAUAAUUGGAAUGAAGUGAUUAAGCACAUAGUGGAUAUCGAGAUCAAGGGAUCGGGGUUAUGAGUCUCGUGCACGAAAGUUCCCAGCUCUGACCACGUUCACAAUUGUGCUGUUAACUAUGCAAAUUUAAUUAUUCUUUUCAUUCAAAUCUUUAUUUUUUUCGAUGAUUAAAAAGCCGAUCAUCACUUUUCUUACAAUGCUUGACAAAUUUUUAAUUUUUUUGUAAUCACGUUUUUUUUGUAAAUGAUUUAUUAUAUGUAAUUUGUUUUGGCAAAUGAAGUGUAGAUAGUGAAGGGAAACAUUUCGUUUUUAAACCUUGCUCAGAAGUUGAACGAUUUCUAUAUCAAAUGUCUGAAAUGGACGGUAGAAGUAAUUUCACGUGACUCUCUAUCUCUAGAGUGGCAUGUUCGAUUGACAACUGUACCCUUAAAUCUUUUAUUUGAACAACAACGUAAAAGAUAUCACCGUUUUUCUACAAACUUGAUUUAAUUGGAAUUACAGGGGAUUUUUUUUUCAAAUUAUGCAUACUUUUUGCGACCUUGUCUACACAGGCUUUAUCAGCAAUAUUAUUUAAUAAUUUCCCGUUUUUACUGAUUACACAUUGCUUGCGAAAAAAAUGUCCACAAAUGUUAGCCAUCAUUUAUAUUUUGCUAAAUUUAUACCAGACUUGCAUAGAUGUUUGCUAAAUUAAUAUUUUGCUACUUUUGUAUAGACAAAAAAUGCACGGAAAGGUUCGGUGGAUCAAAUAAAAUGACAAUGCCAGGGAUUGAAAGAUGAUUGAUCACUGAUCAAUGAUCAAGCAUCACCUUUUUAUAAGGAAAUAGUACAUUUUCACAAGGAUGUGACAAUGUCUACUUUAAAUCAAGAAUUCACCGGAUCUCAACUAUCGAGGAGAUCACAAUUUAGUUUUACCGAGGGUGGGACAAAGAUGGACUCCUGCUCUGAUGUUCAGAAUAACGUGAACAUUGAGAGGAUGGAGACCCUGGAGAAUGAUAUCAAGAAACCUGAGGUUGAUCUUGAUAACCUGGAAAAGAUGGAUGAAGACGGGAUGAACACAAUUGAAGAGAACGAACCCUCCGAAAUAGGAAUAGAGAUAGCAGCUGAUAUAUCAGAAAGUAACAAGGACCAUUUCAAAAAUGACGUUUCUAAACCCUCUCUCACUAAAGAUCCAAAGAAAAAUGUUAUCGAAGAAAAAGAAAUCAACGAUAAGAUAAAUGAAAGCUCAGAAGAUCAAGACUUCACUGACUCUCUGGAAAAGGCUGGAUUUAAAACAACUUCAUCUCAAACUUCCACAAAGAUGGUUGAUGCAAUGUGUCAGACAAUUCAAUCAUUAUCCAGCUCAUUGAAAACGCUAGAUGCUGCUGUGCAAACUGUAGAAUCUUACUACGAGGACGGAUACAAAGAAUGUUCCGUCCAUAGAACCCGGAGAGAAGACGAGAUUAAGGAAGAGCUGGAGGAGAAGGACGGAGAGAAAGAGGAUAGAACUGAAGAAUCGGAUUCCAGGGUUACAGAGCUUCUAGAAUAUUCGGAGCAGAACAAAGUGAAAGACGAAUUUCCCUGCAAGAUUUGCAAGAAGUUGUUCUCAAGCAUUUUCAGCAUCAAAACUCACAUUUAUGUCGCGCACCGGAAGUACUUAAAACCGGCGCAAGCUGGCGCAGUUGUGAAGAAGACUGGAGCUGAUUAUAAGAAAGGAUUCAAGUCGAAAACUGCGUAUUUAUCUCGGAAGAAGUUUACUUACAGAAAACAGAAACCAUGGUGUAAAUACUGCUGGGUCAGAUUUCCAAACAGAGUUGAAUAUGAGGAGCAUAGAAGGCAGUUGCACCAAGAUAAGCUUGGUGUUAGAGAGCGAAGUGCUAGUGCUGCUAACAGUGAGAUAUCAGAGACAUCUAGCGCUAAAUCUAGAAUGGAUUUAAGUUCUAGCAAAUGUGAAGGGGAUCUGAUAUCAGAUAUAUCUCUUGGAGAUCAGAACUCAGAUACUUGUCUCUCAAACAGGACCAGCAGAUCUAAUACACCAGCAGUUGGCAAUAAGUCCCGGGAAGGUGACGAAGAGGAGGAGGAUGCAGAAGACGACGAGGAUGAGGAUAAAGAGGAUGAUAAUGAUAUGGAUAUUAUGGAAACAGAUCUUACUGAUCCAGAGGUUGUGAAGGGAAUGAUACGAGGACUAGAUGUGAAGGUUGUGAAGGUUGAUGAAACCUUGAACAUGGAAUCUAGAGUCUCCUAUCUACUCAACCCAACCACAGAAGAGGAUGUAUCCGCUCUACAAAUAACAGAGGAACUAGAACUUAGUAAUUUUAUGGUUAGCUUGCCUUGGUAUGAAGCCAGAUAUCAUCAUUGUUUGAUCUGUGAGAAGUUUUAUACUCUUGGGACUUUCUCUAGCCAUGUUCUAGACGCACAUGGAAUGUCUAUGGUGUUGUAUAGGGAGAAGUUUCCAAGUGAUGAUUUGUCAGUAAAACUUUGGAAUUGUUCUUUAUGUGAGAAAGAGUUAAAGUGGACUCAAUCUAAUAUAUCUAAACAUUUGAAAUCCAUGCAUCGUCUAAGUUUGCAGGAGUACAGUUUAACCAUUCUUGGCCCAGACGGUUUCAAAGUUAAGCAGGUUCGGCUAGAACCUAGCUUGCCAUGGUAUGAGAGUAGGACGCACAGAUGUCGGAUCUGUAAUCAUGUUUUUAUCUUCUCAGAACUUAAAAAACAUCUCAGACUUAAGCACAACUGUUCUUUUUCCAACUACAAACUACUGUUCCCUCAAUCCUCCCUCUCUGCUGAAGCAUCCAGCGAGGAUCCAGUCUGGAAGUGUAUGAUCUGCAGCGCUAAAACUGCUUGGACCAAGGAACCUAUAAUCCAGCAUAUAAGGAAACAUAACUUGAGUUUGGAGAGCUAUGCUGCUGAACAUGUUGAAGAUGCGAAGCAAGAUGAAGAUGUUGAUGACACCCAACCCCUUCCUCCUGUUGAAUGUGUCCUCAACGUCAAGGAUGAACCUGAAGAGGAGAAGUCAGAUUUCAACUCUAGGAUAGUUCGCCUGGAACCCCGGGAUACUACCCCAAUGAAGAAAUCCAUGCCCCGGGAGAUGGUAAAGGUUGGAUCGGAUGAGAAGCUGUGGGUUCCAUGGUUUGAAUCUAAACUCCACAAAUGCCUGAUAUGCGGAGAGGUAAGGACCUGUGGGCUCAGUUUCAAGAAUCAUAUUUAUGACAAGCAUCAGUACAUGUCCCGGAAACAAUAUGUUAAGCGGUUUCCUGGAGUUGACAUUGAACCUGACGCAUGGAACUGUCCGCUGUGUCACAACACUAUCAAAUGGACCAAGAAAUGUAUAGUUGACCAUCUCAAAACAAUCCAUAUGCUCACAAGGGAAGAGUUUGAAUUAACAUUUAAUAUACCCAGCAGGCACAAGGUUGAUGCUCCAGAAGGAGGAGAAUUUAACUUCAAUGCCAGAACUGAGUUAGGGAUCGCCAAUAAGGAGGUUGCGGAAGCGCAAGAGGCUGAACAUGCAUUACAACAAGAGGCUGAAUCAGCAAGUGUUGUCCAGUGCGGGAUAUGUGAUGAUAUGGUGAAAUCUCUUAUGACCCAUAUUGAGGACUAUCAUAAGAUGAGUAAGGAGGCUUAUCUCAAGAUCUGUGUUGGAGAUGACAAAAAAUUCUCCUCUAGUCCAGCCAAAUCUAAACCUAAGUGGUCCUGUCAGAUCUGUGAAGAGAAAGCAGAAAAUACAGAGAAAAGUAUCAAAGAACACCUUGAGAUUCAUGCCAUUGACUUAAAAGAUUAUGAGAAAACCUUUGAUAUACCAAAAGGCAAUGAGAAUGAGUCCAAAGAGGUUGAGGAUGAUGAUGAAAUUGUUCUUCCUGACAGUGAAAUAAUGAUGGAGGAAGUUGAAGAUGAAGAUGUAAAUAUUAAGAAAGAAGUUGAUACUAAUGGAGAUGAGAUAAAUGAAGAUAAUGUUGUACUUCACAGAGGAUCACCUGAAACUCCUUGGUUUGAGUCAAUCAAGAUGAAAUGCAAGGAAUGUGAUGUAUACUUCUGGUUGGGAGCAUUUAUGAAGCAUAUUAUCCAGGCGCACAGACUUCCCAUAAAGGUUUACAAAGUCAAGUAUCCAGAAACUGUGAUACCUAAGCGUCAAUAUAUCUGUAGGAUUUGUGGAGUUUCGAUUUCACACUAUGCCUCACCCAUCAGUGGGCAUCUGACAGGGAGACACAACAUAACUAUGACUGAUUACUACAAAAAGUAUGAGAAGCUGAAAGUAAAACCUCCCUCUCCUCUUCCUGAACCAGAAAUUGUUAUUCCGAGCAAUACCUUCCCUGAUGAUUAUCUGAGUUUGGAUAGCACAAGUUCUAAGGCCCAGCGAAUGGCAGAAUAUCACAAAACUGGAAAACUUCCCUGGUUUGAGUCUAAAAUCACCAUUUGUAGAAUAUGCAAUGAAGAAUGGCUCCUUGGCUCAUUCCGUCGACAUUUAUAUGAUCGGCAUGAUAAAAUCAGUAGAACCACAUAUUCUGAAAUGUUUCCUGACUCAGAUAUCUCUAUUCCGACCUGGAGAUGUAAAAUAUGUGGUAAUGGAAUUAAAUGGGUUCGAGACAAUAUAUUCUACCAUCUUCGGACCCACAACUUUACAAUGGAAGGAUAUAGACAAUUGUACAUUGACGGAAGUGAUGAUAAGACAACUGCUCUCGGUAAACAAAUGCCGAACCUUGUUCCCAUCUCCAACUCUCUUGAAACGAAAGAAGAAAAACAGUUUCGUUGUAAACUUUGCAAUGUUCUUGUGGCCCUUGAAUCUACAGCCAUCAGAAAUCAUCUGAAAACAUUCCAUAACAUGAGUAUUAAUGAGUAUCAACCUUUUAAGAAUUCGCCCAAUCCUACUGGAUUUAGUCCUGCAUUCCCUUUGGCGGAUCCUAAUAACAGUGCAUACAAUAUUCCAUUGUAUAACAACCCCAUGAUACAAAAACCGCCUCCUUUAUUAAAAAAGAUACUACCUCGCCCUUCUGCCCCUCCUGCCCAGCCAGGGUUGCCAUGGUACAACAAGUGUAAGUGGACCUGUAUGCUUUGCAACAAAGCUUUCUCGUCCGGAUUCUGGAGACAUGUCUCAGAAAAUCAUUCCUACACCAAGGAAAACUAUCUCCAGGAAUUCGGUAAGAAUGGUAUUGACAUAGUUCAUUACUUUUGCAAGAUCUGCAACAAAAAGAUCCCCUGGUCCGGAGCUAGCAUCAAUGCGCACACCAAGGCUGACCAUGCAAUGUCCUUGAAGGAGUAUGAGGGUUUGUACGGACCUAAAUCUGAUGAGCUUGUACCUGAUCCCCAAGCUGAGCCUGAUAUACCAAUCCUGCCAAUUAAUAUGUUCCCACACCUGCCCUCGGGUAGCCAAAUACACUACGUCCACUCUCCAAACAAAUGGUUUAACGGUUGCGAGUACAAGUGUCAGGUUUGUGGACGAAUCCUUCAUUCCGUGGCGGGAUUGUCAAUGCAUUUAAAGGACACUCACAUGAUGGAUAAAUUCUCAUAUUUCCGUCAGUUCGGCCGAGCAGGGAUUAACAUUAGAAAAUACAAAUGCAAGAUAUGUUUCAAGUCUUUCCCUUGGUCUGGGGUCAGCAUAUCCAAGCAUGUGAAGCAGGCUCACAACAUCUCAUUGCAAAGGUAUUCUAACAUGUAUGAAAACGGAAGCACCCAGGAAUCCAUCUACCAAGAGGAGUUGGCUAAUGGUGUUCCAGGCAUGGACCCUAUACGAGAGAACCAGCCACCUCCCUCCCGAGACAAGGGACUCAAAUGGUAUAAUAAAUGCUCCUGGACUUGUCAAAUCUGUGGAACCACAAUUUCAACAAACUCCAGCGCAUUCUACAAACAUAUAGCACAGGAUCAUGGUGUACCUAUUGACGAGUAUAAGGAGAAGCAUGGUAAUACAGGGUUUGUCUACGUAGAUCAUACUUGUAAGCUAUGCAAUAAAAAGGUUCCGUUCAACGGUCUAGCGAUGUGCAAACAUUUCAAACAUACUCACAACAUGCAGCUAGAGGAGUAUCAAGCAAGGUUUAUGAUUGAUGAUGAUGGCAGCUCAACAGGAGAAUAUUAUGCCCCUACAGAUGAACAUUGGUACAACAAGGGAAUAUGGAAAUGUCAGAUAUGUAAGAACAAGAACAAAUCCCUUGGUUCCUACAAGAAGCAUAUUCAGAAGAUGCACAAUAUGCACUAUGAAGAUUACUUUGAUAAGUUUGGGAAUGCCGGGAUCCACGAGGUUGUGUUCCGGUGUAAGAUGUGUGCCGCAACCAUGUCUUGCAACGGAGUCACUAUUGCCAGUCAUCUCCUUAACAAUCACAAGUUUACUCUAGCUGAGUAUGAGAAGACCUACCUCAAGGAUGGAGAGGAUGAGGGCGAGGAGGGGAUAGAGGUUCAGCCUCAAGACGGAGAACAUUUUCUAGCUGGGAUGAAAGCCACAAGUUCCGAGCCGGCACCCGUUUUGUCCAAGGAAGAGAUGCUUCGAAAGGAUAAACCAUGGUAUCAGAAAUGUAAAUAUUUCUGUCAGAUCUGUAACAACCCAUACUUCAGCAUUAGUGCGCUGAGAAACCAUACCAAGGUAAAGCAUAAUAUGGACAGAGAUACAUAUGUCGGAAUAUACGGUCUUGAUGCGGGCCGGGUGAUUGAGGACUAUAGUUGUAAGAUAUGCAAUAGAACGCUGAAGUGUGAAGGAAGAAGCCUGAACGCCCAUAUGAGAAACUGCCACAAAAUGGGGAUAGUCGAGUACAGCAAGCGCUACGAGUCUCAGAGAAACACACAAGAAGAUCCGAACUACUACAAUGAGACUUAUCAAAUAGAACUUGAGAAUGACGAAGGCCAGGAAGGGGAAGAGGACUACACUGUCGAGACCAUCGGCGUGGAAGAUAACGAAGAUCCCCUGGCCAGCUUUGUGUCAACCGAGAUCUUGGAAGAUGACUAUGCUGAGGAUGAUAUGACAGCAGAAGAAUCUCUUCAUUUCAACUUCGAGGAAGAGGAGGAGGAUGAGGAACAACCAACCUUUAAUGAAGAUAUCGGGGUUGCAGAGAUGAAACCGGAUAUUUCUAAAAUACAGAUCAUUCCUGAGGCAAUGGAGACUGAGGAUGAUUCUGCACCGCCUGAAGAGUCUAUUGAAAUAACCUCCAUAACCGAGGAGAAUGAUGAGGAUGAAAUCGAUAUGAGUCAAGUCAACAUGGGCGUAGUUGAGUUCAGUCCUGAAAACCCCUUGGCCUAAAUCUGCCACCUUGCUUGAUUUACAAAUUGUAAAAAUCAAAUUAUUUUGAAAACUUUGCCUUUUUUCAAGACUCAUACAAAACACAUGGUUUUGAUUUUCUUAAAUGUUUAUCACAGCGGUCGCCCAAAAAGAUAUUUCGGAUCAACAAAUGUGAUUUCCUCUCUUGACUUUUCCGUUUAAGACUGUGUUUCUUUAAGCAUUUGUAUCAGUCUGGCUUGAACUAAAAACUAAAGAAAUUCUGAGUUGAAGCAUUUUUCGAAGUGUCUUCUAUACAAUUAAAUUCAUUUAUACUUAGAGUUUAGAGGAGAAGAAAGAAGCUCUCAUUAACAACAAAGUUUUUGAAUUUGCCUUCUAAAAAUCAUUUGGAACAUGUUUCUCUCUGCAUUUUUAAAAUCUUUUACUUUGAUUCAGUUAUGCUUAGGGUCGAUUUUAAUACAAAAAGGUUCCGAGUCGUUCGAUCUGAUCAAAUUUAACAUCACUGUACUUUGUUGUACUUAAAAUGGUAUUUAGACAUACAUUCCUCCCUAAAUAUUUGCAUCAUUUUCAACAAUUUCGACCUAAUUCUUCUGUUUUUCUUAAAAGGCCUAAUUCAAAAUUAGCCAUAAAACCAAUUUUACUUGUUUAUUUGUUGCAAACUAUCUAGCUGAUCUAUCACUUGUGAUGGGAAUUUAUAAAUAAGAACGAAAUAGUUGAAUUAGAUUUAGCUAGCUAAACUAAUUUUUCUGUUAGAUAGUUCAGCAAUCUUAUUGGUUGAAAACAAACUUAUCUUCUUUGCCAUCUUUCUUGACACCAAGCUCGUUAAUAUUACCAUUGACACGCAUUGAUACUUUUUCAACGAUAUAAUUGACAUAAAGAAAAUGAAAAUCUCUCUAGUGUUACAAGAGACAUACUCGUUUACCUGUUAGUUGAUAUUUUUGACCGGAAACAGAUAGUUUAUGCAUUUCCGGCUUUUGAUUCGGGAUGCAUAAAACAUUGUUGUUAUUCGAACUAAUGUAUUUACAAUACAUUUAAUGUCUGGGUAUGUGGUUUCUAGAUCUAUUCCUCUUCCAAAUUGGGAUAUAAAGAUGUAAUGAUAUUAAAUGGAAACCCCGCCCUAUAUAAAUGUGUUAUUAUACUUUUAACAUGACUUAUGCCCCUCCUGUAUAUUUGUACACUUUAUGUGCAGUAACGUUUAGUCAAUGUAAUCUGAACAAAUUAAAAAAUGUCUUUAAAUAAUUUUUAUUAUUAUCAUGAUUAUUUUAUUAUCAUAUUAUUCCAUUGCAUUUAAACAUAUAUUUACAUUAGUGUUGUAUAUUCACCUUGCAACUAUUCGUUGGUAAGUUUGUGUAACGUUGAACCAAUAAAAGUAUUGUUAGCGUAGUA